GAAUUUUAGUUAAUUAAUAACUCCUAUUAAUUUAUUUAUAUGGUGGCACAUAAUCGGAAGCCCCGACUGUUUACUAAAAACACAACUAUCUGCAAUUAUGAAAAUAAUAGUAUAGGUAGUGAGAUUUGCCCAAUGCCAUAUUAAUAAGUAAUAAUAAUAGGUAACUGUUUCUUUACAAAAAAUUGGUUAAUAGCGGUCUUAACUAUGAGGAUCCUAAGGUAGCAAAAUAAAUUGGCCAUUAAAUGUGGUCCAGUAUCAAUAAUUUAACGAUGGCUUCACUGUCUCUACAACUUGCUCAGUGAAAUUGAAUUACCCGUGCAGAUGCGGGUUACCUCAAAGAGGACGGGAAGACCCUAUGCAGCUUUCUUACUGA
rnacentral:rRNA from 1 species